UUGAUCGAACUGUCUGAGCAAUCCAAUGACUGAGGUUUUAUUGAAGAUGAACGGCUCAAAUUAAGCCUUGUAAGAUCCAACGGCUAGGGAGACUGCUAUAAAAAGGAAAAGAUUAGGAUUUCUUCUUCAUUUAAAAGAGAAGCCGAAAAAGAGAGAGAGGAGGAGAGAGGUGAGUUGAUCGGAUGAGAGAGAGAAGAAGAGAGCUGUCGAGCGGGGGAGCCGAGAGAGAGCAAAAUGGAGUGAGAGCCGAGUGGAAGAGAGAAAGAGAGGAAAGGAAGAGGGAGGCCGGAGAAGAGGAAGGGAGAGAAGGAGAAGCGUAGCCGAGCGAGAGAGUGAAGGGAAGAGCUGAGAAUGGCCGUCGCAAGGGAAGAAAAGAAGAGAGAGUGGCAGAGGCAAGAGAGUUGUGGAAGCCAAAGCCGAAAGGAAGAAGAAGGAAGGGAAAUCGGGCUGAGAAGCCGUGUGACGGCGGAAACCAAAGCAAGUAAGGUAAAAAUUCAUCUUUUUUAUCUUUUCACCUUACUUUCCUUCAAUCCCUUUUUCUAUUUUACAUUAAUUGGUUUGUAGGCAUUAAAUCUGUCAUCCAAAUCUCAAGUAAGCAAAGAGAGUCGUGGGAUAGCCGAGAGGACCAUCCGGAGUCGAACCCGAAGCCGAAUCGCACCACACCGGAGCAGGUAAACUUCCUUUUGUGAUUGUUUGGUUGUUAAGGCGACAGAGACGGGCUGUUGGCGAUGGGCUGGCUGUGCGUGCUUGGCCGAGUCAUCCACCCACUUGGAAAGUGAGGGGUCUUUCUCGAGUACGGGGACACGAUCCACCCACUCGACAAGCCGAAGGGUCUUCCUCGGGUAUGGGGACCCAAUCCACCCAUUCAAGAA
rnacentral:lncRNA from 1 species